rnacentral:rRNA from 1 species
UGAAACUGCGAAUGGCUCAUUAUAUAAGUUAUCGUUUAUUUGAUAGUGCCUAUCCUACACGGAUAACAGUGGUAAUUCUAGAGCUAAUACGUGCCAAAAGCCCCGACUUCGGGAGGGGCGUGCUUGUCAGAAUCAGAACCAAUGCCCCCCGGGGCUCCCUGGUGGAUCAUGACAAUCCUACUGAGCGCAUGGCCUCGCGCCGGCGCCGGCUCAUUCAAAUUUCUUCCCUAUCAACUUUCGACGGUACGGUCUUGGCCUACCGUGGUUACAACGGGUAACGGAGGGUUAGGGCUCGACCCCGGAGAGGGGGCCUGAGAGACGGCCACCACAUCCAAGGAAGGCAGCAGCCGCGCAAAUUAUCCAAUCCCGACACGGGGAGAUAGUGACAAUAAAUACCGAUACAGGGCUCUUUUGGGCCCCGUAAUUGGAAUGAGUACAAUUUAAACCUCUUAACGAGGAACAAUUGGAGGGCAAGUCUGGUGCCAGCAGCCGCGGUAAUUCCAGCUCCAAUAGCGUAUAUUAAAGUUGUUGUGGUUAAAAAGCUCGUAGUCGAACCUCGGGCUCGGCCGGCCGGUCCGCCUCACCGCGUGCACUGGUCCGGCCGGGUCCUUCCCUCUGCGGAGCCGCAUGCCCUUCGCUGGGCGUGCCGGGGAAGCAGGACUUUUACUUUGAAAAAAUUAGAGUGCUCAAGGCAGGCCGAUGCUCGGAUACAUUAGCAUGGAAUAAUGGAAUAGGACGUUGGUUCUAUUUUGUUGGUUUCUAGGACCGCCGUAAUGAUCAAUAGGGACGGUCGGGGGCGUCAGUAUUCAGCCGCGAGAGGUGAAAUUCUUAGACCGGCUGAAGACUAACUACUGCGAAAGCAUUCGCCAAGGACGUUUUCGCUGAUCAGGAACGAAAGUUAGGGGAUCGAAGACGAUCAGAUACCGUCGUAGUCUUAACCAUAAACGGUGCCGACUUGGGAUCGGGCGCUGCUGAACUUACGGCGCGCUCGGCACCAUUCGAGAAAUCAAAGU